ACGGAAGGCAGCAGUAGGGAAUAUUGCACAAUGGGGGGAACCCUGAUGCAGCAACGCCACGUGUGGGAAGAAGCAUUUCGGUGUGUAAACCACUGUCGUGAGGGAAUAAUGCUUGGUCUCGGCCAAGUUGAAUGUACCUCGAAAGGAAGCACCGGCAAACUUCGUGCCAGCAGCCGCGGUAAUACGAGGGGUGCAAGCGUUGUUCGGAAUCACUGGGCGUAAAGGGAGCGCAGGCGGAGAUGCAAGCAGUCUGUACAAUACCGGGGCCCAACCCCGGACCUGCAGACUGGACUGUUUGUCUUGGAUAGUUCAGGGGCAAGCGGAAUUCCUGGUGUAGCGGUGGAAUGCGUAGAGAUCAGGAAGAACACCGAUGGCGAAGGCAGCUUGCUGGGGACUUAUCGACGCUCAUGCUCGAAAGUGCGGGUAGCAAACAGGAUUAGAUACCCUGGUA
rnacentral:rRNA from 1 species